UGGGGAAUAUUGCACAAUGGGCGCAAGCCUGAUGCAGCCAUGCCGCGUGUGUGAAGAAGGCCUUCGGGUUGUAAAGCACUUUCAGCGGGGAGGAAGGCGUUAAGGUUAAUAACCUUGGCGAUUGACGUUACCCGCAGAAGAAGCACCGGCUAACUCCGUGCCAGCAGCCGCGGUAAUACGGAGGGUGUAAGCGUUAAUCGGAAUUACUGGGCGUAAAGCGCACGCAGGCGGUCUGUCAAGUCGGAUGUGAAAUCCCCGGGCUCAACCUGGGAACUGCAUUCGAAACUGGCAGGCUAGAGUCUUGUAGAGGGGGGUAGAAUUCCAGGUGUAGCGGUGAAAUGCGUAGAGAUCUGGAGGAAUACCGGUGGCGAAGGCGGCCCCCUGGACAAAGACUGACGCUCAGGUGCGAAAGCGUGGGGAGCAAACAGG
rnacentral:rRNA from 1 species